UGGUAGGUGAGGUCUCUGGAAUCGCCUUCUAGCCAAAGACUCUCCAUGGUGUUAUGGCUAUGGUAGAAGUGGCAGUACUUCUCUCUAUCCUUCUUGUGCUCUCACCUUCGAGGGCCAACAUGUAGAGUCUUUGCCCCCAAUCUUCAUAAGGAUCGGAAUGCACAGGUCAGAGAAAGGGAUAUAGUGGUGAAGGUAUUAUGGAGGAUUCUUUAUCCCCUACUACUUUUGUAGUUGUCU
rnacentral:lncRNA from 1 species